CACGUAGGAGGCGAGCGUUGUCCGGAAUCAUUGGGCGUAAAGAGCGCGUAGGCGGCUUGGCAAGUCGGGUGUGAAAGCCCGGGGCUCAACCCCGGGACUGCAUUCGAUACUGUCAGGCUAGAGGUAGGUAGGGGAGAUCGGAAUUCCUGGUGUAGCGGUGAAAUGCGCAGAUAUCAGGAGGAACACCGGUGGCGAAGGCGGAUCUCUGGGCCUUACCUGACGCUCAGGCGCGAAAGCUAGGGGAGCGAACAGG
rnacentral:rRNA from 1 species